rnacentral:rRNA from 1 species
AAUGAACGUUGGCGGCGUGGAUUAGGCAUGCAAGUCGAGCGCUCACCCGCAAGGGUGGGAGCGGCGAAAGGGAGAGUAACGCGUGGGUAUCUACCCUCGGGACUGGGAUAGCUGCGGGAAACUGCAGGUAAUACCAGAUGACGUCCCCGGACCAAAGGUGUGAUUCCGCCUGAGGAUGAGCCCGCGUCCUAUUAGCUUGUUGGUGGGGUAAUGGCCUACCAAGGCAAUGAUGGGUACUGGGUGUGAGAGCACGACCCAGCUCACUGGGACUGAGACACUGCCCAGACACCUACGGGUGGCUGCAGUCGAGAAUCUUCGGCAAUGGGCGAAAGCCUGACCGAGCGACGCCGCGUGUGGGAUGAAGGCCUUCGGGUUGUAAACCGCUGUCAGAGGGGAGGAAUGGGCGGAGGGUAAUCUCUUCGUUUUGACCUAUCCUCAGAGGAAGUACGGGCUAAGUUCGUGCCAGCCGCCGCGGUAAAAC